rnacentral:rRNA from 2 species
CUGGCUCAGGAUGAACGCUGGCGGCGUGCCUAAUACAUGCAAGUCGAACGAAACUUCUUUAUCACCGAGUGCUUGCACUCACCGAUAAAGAGUUGAGUGGCGAACGGGUGAGUAACACGUGGGCAACCUGCCCAAAAGAGGGGGAUAACACUUGGAAACAGGUGCUAAUACCGCAUAAYCAUAGUUACCGCAUGGUAACUAUGUAAAAGGUGGCUAUGCUACCGCUUUUGGAUGGGCCCGCGGCGCAUUAGCUAGUUGGUGAGGUAAAGGCUUACCAAGGCAAUGAUGCGUAGCCGAACUGAGAGGUUGAUCGGCCACAUUGGGACUGAGACACGGCCCAAACUCCUACGGGAGGCAGCAGUAGGGAAUCUUCCACAAUGGGCGAAAGCCUGAUGGAGCAACGCCGCGUGGGUGAAGAAGGUCUUCGGAUCGUAAAACCCUGUUGUUAGAGAAGAAAGUGCGUGAGAGUAACUGUUCACGUUUCGACGGUAUCUAACCAGAAAGCCACGGCUAACUACGUGCCAGCAGCCGCGGUAAUACGUAGGUGGCAAGCGUUAUCCGGAUUUAUUGGGCGUAAAGGGAACGCAGGCGGUCUUUUAAGUCUGAUGUGAAAGCCUUCGGCUUAACCGGAGUAGUGCAUUGGAAACUGGGAGACUUGAGUGCAGAAGAGGAGAGUGGAACUCCAUGUGUAGCGGUGAAAUGCGUAGAUAUAUGGAAGAACACCAGUGGCGAAAGCGGCUCUCUGGUCUGUAACUGACGCUGAGGUUCGAAAGCGUGGGUAGCAAACAGGAUUAGAUACCCUGGUAGUCCACGCCGUAAACGAUGAAUGCUAAGUGUUGGAGGGUUUCCGCCCUUCAGUGCUGCAGCUAACGCAAUAAGCAUUCCGCCUGGGGAGUACGACCGCAAGGUUGAAACUCAAAGGAAUUGACGGGGGCCCGCACAAGCGGUGGAGCAUGUGGUUUAAUUCGAAGCAACGCGAAGAACCUUACCAGGUCUUGACAUCUUCUGACAAUCCUAGAGAUAGGACUUUCCCUUCGGGGACAGAAUGACAGGUGGUGCAUGGUUGUCGUCAGCUCGUGUCGUGAGAUGUUGGGUUAAGUCCCGCAACGAGCGCAACCCUUAUUGUUAGUUGCCAGCAUUAAGUUGGGCACUCUAGCAAGACUGCCGGUGACAAACCGGAGGAAGGUGGGGAUGACGUCAAAUCAUCAUGCCCCUUAUGACCUGGGCUACACACGUGCUACAAUGGACGGUACAACGAGUCGCAAGACCGCGAGGUUUAGCAAAUCUCUUAAAGCCGUUCUCAGUUCGGAUUGUAGGCUGCAACUCGCCUACAUGAAGUCGGAAUCGCUAGUAAUCGCGGAUCAGCAUGCCGCGGUGAAUACGUUCCCGGGCCUUGUACACACCGCCCGUCACACCAUGAGAGUUUGUAACACCCAAAGCCGGUGGGGUAACCUUUUGGAGCCAGCCGUCUAAGGUGGGACAGAUGAUUGGGGUGAAGUCGUAC